rnacentral:lncRNA from 1 species
AGGGUGACAGGGACACAACAUGGCGGCGGGAUCUCUAACGCUCUCCUUCGAGGGACCACCACGGAGAUCCUAGUGCGGGACCCCGCCUCAGGGAAGUGGAAAGCAGGGGGACAACCUUCCUGCUUCUUUCUUUUCCGUCCAGUGUCGGCAAGGGGUUGUCACCGGCUUCCGCAUCCAAGAUGAAGAACUAUAAAGCAAUUGGCAAAAUAGGAGAGGGAACGUUUUCUGAAGUUAUGAAGAUGCAAAGCCUGAGAGAUGGAAACUACUAUGCAUGUAAACAAAUGAAGCAGCGCUUUGAAAGGGAGAAGAUACCCAUUAUCAGAAAAAAAAAUUAUGCACUAUAUGUACCAGUUAUGUAAGUCCCUGGAUCAUAUUCACAGGAUGUCCUGAAAUUAGGGGACUUUGGCUCCUGCCGGAGUGUCUAUUCCAAGCAGCCGUACACGGAAUACAUCUCCACCCGCUGGUACCGGGCCCCGGAGUGUCUCCUCACUGAUGGGUUCUACACGUACAAGAUGGACCUGUGGAGCGCCGGCUGUGUGUUCUACGAGAUCGCCAG